CUAUACUGCGCCCGUCCUUGGGGAGUAGCCGCCCCCGCUCGCGGGGGAUGCGCGUCAACAUGCUUGCUUCGUCAUCGAAGCAUGGCGCGCAUGGGGCCGCCGCCGCGCGGCC
rnacentral:sRNA from 2 species